rnacentral:rRNA from 1 species
GAGUUUGAUCCUGGCUCAGGAUGAACGCUGGCGGCGUGCUUAACACAUGCAAGUCGAACGGAAGUAAAAGAAGGGAAGGGGCAGUUUACUGCCGCGGAACAUUUUUUACUUUAGUGGCGGACGGGUGAGUAACGCGUGGGUAACCUGCCUUAUACAGGGGGAUAACACUUAGAGAUAGGUGCUAAGACCGCAUAAGCGCCCAGGGCCGCAUGGCCCAGGGUGAAAAACUCCGGUGGUAUAAGAUGGGCCCGCGUCUGAUUAGCCAGUUGGCAGGGUAACGGCCUACCAAAGCGACGAUCAGUAGCCGGCCUGAGAGGGUGGACGGCCACAUUGGGACUGAGACACGGCCCAAACUCCUACGGGAGGCAGCAGUGGGGGAUAUUGCACAAUGGGGGAAACCCUGAUGCAGCGACGCCGCGUGAGUGAAGAAGUAUUUCGGUAUGUAAAGCUCUAUCAGCAGGGAAGAAAGAAGACGGUACCUGAGUAAGAAGCCCCGGCUAACUACGUGCCAGCAGCCGCGGUAAUACGUAGGGGGCAAGCGUUAUCCGGAUUUACUGGGUGUAAAGGGAGCGUAGACGGCAAGGCAAGCCUGGAGUGAAAGGCGGGGGCCCAACCCCCGGACUGCUCUG